rnacentral:rRNA from 1 species
UGGGGGGAUAUUGCACAAUGGGCGAAAGCCUGAUGCAGCAACGCCGCGUGAGGGAAGACGGUUUUCGGAUUGUAAACCUCUGUCUUUGGUGAAGAAGAAAGUGACGGUAGCCAAGGAGGAAGCCACGGCUAACUACGUGCCAGCAGCCACGGUAAUACGUAGGGAGCAAGCGUUAUCCGGAUUUACUGGGUGUAAAGGGCGCGUAGGCGGGAUGGCAAGUCAGAUGUGAAAUCCAUGGGCUCAACCCAUGAACUGCAUUUGAAACUGUUAUUCUUGAGUACUGGAGAGGUUGACGGAAUUCCUAGUGUAGCGGUGAAAUGCGUAGAUAUUAGG